GGGAGCGUCCCGAGCGGUGGAGGCGCGUGCAGCUCGCGGCGGGACGGGCGGCGUGUGGGGCUCGGCGGCGACGGAACGGCAACGGCCGUGCAGACCGGCAGCCCAGUUAGAAGUUCUGCAUGUGGGAGAGAGGUGCCCCAGUCUGAAGAUGCUCAACGAUGCUUCUGUACACGAGGCACUACUGAAAGAUGAAGUGGCUCUUUUAACAGUAAGGCAUAUAUAAUGGCACCCCAGUUUAAAGCCACUUGGUUCAGAGAGUGCAACUGUGAGAGCUGAACCCUCCCAAGCAGAGCAGUGUGGAGCAGAGGAAGCACUACAAACUCUGGAAGGACCCAGAAUAACUGUGCAUGCUUCCAAAAUGUUACCACAGCUGAGGUUCAUCCUUGAACUCUGGUGGUCUGGAACAACUGCCUUACCAGUUCUCUCUGACAGAUGUAGUCUGACUCAAUCACAAGCAAACUGUGCAACAGACAGAACAGUAUAUUUAACCCCAGAGUGUUCAUCAGAUGAAACAGGCCAUGGAAACAAUGACAUUUAAGUGCUACUUGUAAUCUUCAUCAUUGGCCACCUCAAGCUAUUUGCAUCUCCCUUCUGGCAGCUGACUGAGUGUAACUUUCCUGGGAAGAGCUGUGUACUAUUCAAGCCACAUCUAAAACUCAAGAGCUUCCAUUCAAGCUGGCCAGAGCUUCCUGCAUUCCCAUUUCCACUCCCUAGCAUGAGAUAAAGGACCUGCAGCAGUUCCCAAACUUAGCACUGGUACAAGUUCUGCCUGUCAGCCCACUGUACUGCUGCCUACCCAGGAAGACUUAUCAGAAGGGGAACGUUCAUCUCCUGCUAAACUGAUAUUUAGCUAUUGUAGAAGAAAAGACCGAAGUAAAAAAACUUAGAUUAAGCACAGUAUGUGCAAUGCAAUAAUAUGACAGAAAGUAUAGCAAUAAUAGCAGAGUGCCAAAGUCUUCAGCUACAGCAAACAACAACAAGCCCAAACACAGCAGCUAUGGAUACCGAAACAGAAGAACAAAUCUGCUUACCUUUGAAAGGCCUCAGGCAGGUAUGGAACUCCAGUGAGAUACUCUCACCUCCACUGCCAACCCUUAAAUGAGGUCUGGAUCCUGGCUCCACCCCUUCCAGUCACUCAGAUGCAUCGCACGCACCUGAGCUCCCCUGAGUUGGUCCUGCCUUCCCACCAGGUGCUCAAUUACUGGUUCAGGCCAUGACUUAGCAUUUCCACUACAGCAUGGCAGUCCAGUUAAAUCCCAUGGAUUGUGGAUUCUGAUAUAUUUCAUUCAGGAGUGCAGGUAGGAAUUGAAGAAUAAAUCCCCCUUUUAAUUUGAAUAUCAAAUGAAUGACUUGAGAAAGGACUGAUUGCUACUAAAGAUGAAAAUAUCACACAUUUGGGCUAAAAUCUGUUAUCUGGUACACUGAACUAUUUUGCUGUAUCUUGAAUUUAACAUGUAAAAUAGAAAACAGUGGUGAGAUCAUCAGGUCCUACUAGAAGGAAGCUCUCUAUUUAUAUUGUCCUCCUUGGCCACUGUGGGCAAACUGCAACAAGCCAUCCAGGAAGACUUCAGAAUUCAAGAAAACUUACGCAAUUCCAAAGCAUUCAAAUGAUAUCUCACUAAGGAAUAAAUGAAAAAGUCAUUUGUUCAACCACCCUCUGUACUUCUACAACCUCCCCCCACCUUCUGCAAUGUAUGAAACAGCAGUUUCAAAGAAGCAGCAUAAAAAACAAAGAAAAAAAUAGGUAAUGAACUUACUAAAUCCACAGGUUGGACAAGAAAAAAAUUAUUGCCUCUCUUCACAUAGAUAAAUAAAAGGAACGUGGUGAUACCUUUCCAAGAUGAAGAUAAAUGUCAUUUAAAAUAGAAAGCCCUUGACAGCUCCUAGGUUUCAGCUCUUGCUUCCAUCACCGAGGGAAAGAACUCUGAGCUGGUUUUACAACAGCAGAACAUUGUCUGGCUGAAGCAUUAUGACAGAAAGGGAUAGUAAUACAGCUGUUAAAAGUUUGCUCUCUUCUGUACUCAAGGAAUCCAUCAAAGAACUCUUCUAGAAGAAGAGCCCAUAUGCGGAGUAAGACAGCAUGAUGUAUGAAUCCCAUCGCUGAAAUCAACUCUUGGAUUCAACAGUGCCAUUUGAACGGACAAAACCAUUAUUUUCUUUAGCCAUUCAAGCAAGGGAAACAUACUAACUCAAUUGCCAGCAUAGCUACCAGAAGGAAAUUGUGUAUGCUUUUUAGUAUUCAAGACCUUGCUCUAUUGCCUUACUCAUAUGAAAUUCAGCAUCUCUUUUGAAAACAGCAAAACAAUGACUUUGUCUCCAUUUUAAUUUGGAAGGAGUCCAAAUUAAGCUAUUAUGAGAGAUAAAUGAUAUAAUGAGAGUUGCAUGCAAUUUACUGAAAAAAAAAAUGAACAAGCAAAAUGACCUCUCAAAUGUUUGCAUUUUUCUUUUUUGAACUUACUGAAAUUUUUAUGUUCUAGGUAGUGAAGUCAAGUUUCAUAUUCAGCUUUCCUGUUAAUGUUAACAUGUACAUGACAGGUUCCAACUAAGCAGAAAAAUAGGACAUUAGGAUGCCAACCUAGCGUUCCGUUAUUAUCAAGAAUAAAUGAACUCAACUUAAACAGAGUUUCUAUAUUAACUAUUUCCAGAAUACACUCCUAUGCAGAACACUGUCUCGUAGGAAUUUGACUGGCAAAUAUCAGAUAUUCUGGCACUGAAAAGAAAAUCUGAGAACCUUUGUUACUGAAGCUGUAGUGGUGAACAAAAAUAGACUGCAAGCACUGGUGGAAACAUGGGCUACAGGGCCCUGUGAUCACAAACCUUCUGAGCAGGAAAGUCUGCCCGCUUAUAGAAAAGGUCAUCUUCAGUUUUGCAGCUCCAGGCUUUUAAUCUUAAGUAAGCCAAUCAGAUCUGAAUUAAGUGAUGAACGUAUUAUGUUAAUGAGCAUAAUUAUGCUAAUGAACAUUCCUUCAAGGAAUCUUCAUUCUUGAUUCAUUAGUUAGAUGUUACCAUCUGAAACCAAUGGAAAAUGUUUUGAAAAACUCAAUUAACCCCUCUGGGGUAAUCUUAAGACCUUAACAGACUGUCUUCCAGUGCUACCUCUGUUAUUUAUUCCCAGAUUUGUCUGUAGUCAUCAUUUCACUCAGAGUCCUCUGCCUUUUUAAACUUAUUUUUCUUCUGACAGUUACUUCAACCCUGCCGGAAAAACAAAACAAAACAAAAAUCUAUAAUCAUGUUUUAUUACUGCACUGCAGGCUCUGCAAUCCAGAUCCCAACAGUAUCACCUUCUGAACAAGCAUGGGAAAAUGCUAAAACAGCAGAAAAGUUGUCAGAGCCUGCCUGCACUAUUGACUAACCAGAGACUAGCUUGGGACAGGCACUAUCCAGCCAGCAAAUAGGCAGCUUUCUGCAGUACACUGUGUACUUCUUAGGGAUGGCACUUACUGUUUGGUGCCAGUGUGCUCCCGUGUUACAUUCCUGGUCCCACACAAUUACAUGUGUAUCUAAGGUUGCACUUACACUCCCACCUGUUAAGGUAACACACAGGAAGUAUCAUGGUAAGCUAUUAACAGCACAUGUUUUUACAGGACAGUAGCCUAUUUGUUCAGAUGAAUUCAAGUCACUUAAAAGUUAUUCCAUCCAUGGCUGGUAUUAAUAGCAUCCACACGUGUAACAUUUAUAUCAGUGGACAUAAAUCAGCAUCAGUCUAUUAAAUUCAAAACCACAUCAUUUCGGCUCAGCAGCUGACACUACAGGCUUACAAAAGAAACACUUAACAUAUACUUUUCCAUGAUGAAACGUGAGAAUAUGUCUAUUGAUGGUUACGUGUUCUCUACAAGAAGCCUCUCUGAGCCUUAAGGUUUACUUUCCAUAAUCAGCAGCACCUCCCCAGUGGGUUUUUAAUAUGUUUUAUCAGCUUAGAGUUCCUGAACAUCACACUUGCAUGUGGAAAGGCCAGAGAAUUGCCAGCUCUCGAUCAGCUGCAGUGAAAGCACAGCUUUGUAGUCCCAAAGCCCUGACUAUACCUGGGAGUGCAUACAUGGUAUCUGAUUGAAGUUACAGGUGUUAUAAUUCUCCUCUUGCCAGUGGGUCAUUAUUUCACUCCAUCAAAAGAGAAAAAUAAAACAUGUGAAGAACUCUGCAGUGACCUGCUUAGUCCCACAGAGGUCACAGUAGAGACUGAUUUAUGAUGACUGACAACUGCCUAUGAUUAUGAAAAUUGCUAGCCAGGACAGCAUAUAUUACUGAUGCCUGCUGAAUAGGGCACAGAGAAAUCAUUUUCCCUUUUAGUAUUCCUAAAGGUUUACUGUUCUUAGCUUUAUUCAAAGAAACUUAAGACCCGAGGAAAACAAUGCUGUGUAUAUAAACAGGGCAAACAUUAUGCUGUUAUUUAAAAAUGUCAGCCUGAUACUUGAUGUAAGGUUCUGACUUAAUAUGUAAGGCAAAACAAAUGAGUUUGAAAAUCUCUGUUUAGUGGUUUAGAAAAUGGGAUCUGAGAUUGCUUUAAAGAAGGUCAUAAAGACCUCUCAACCUCUCCUUUUAUUUAUGUUUUCUCAAAUAUAUUGACUGGCUUGAUGGUGCACCACAGACAAAUAUCUACAUGCUUCACAUAAUGAAACAGUGUCAUUACCUUAUCUGGACAAACUCCCAGUGUAAUUGCAACCAAAGUAAAACAGCUCUGAGACUGCAAAGAAGUGUCAAAACAGGAAAUACAAUAGCAUAGACCUGAGAUGUUUUCCAUUUGCAGACUUUCAUAUAGGUGUCUUUUUUCAUACUUUUAGCCCUAUAUUGGAAAGCAUAAUUUGAUGAUAGACGUGAAACUGUGUAUUAGUUUUUAUUUUGACAAAUUCAUUAGACAUCACAUAGCUUGAAAAAUGAACCAGGAGGCACUAAGUCAGCCUGAGAAGAUUGUACUUCAUAAACUGAAUUGCUCACAUGGGCAACAUUUUGGUGGAAGUUAUAGAUUUUCUAGCAUAUCCCUGAUAGAUAGCACUAAUAUAACUUCAAUAAAAACUCUGGAUAUGUCAAUAUAAAAUUUUUUCAAGCAUCGAAAGAUGUAAGAUACUUCAGCUAAUAAAUUGGAAGAUUCCCUGUUCCUCAAGGUACACUAACUUACACAUCAGAUUAUAAAGAGUAUUGAAGCCACACAGAGUACAGCAGGCAGCUGUAGGUUUGCUGCUUUUAGAAGUUGCACUAAAUUGAAUUAUCAAUAUAUGAAAGUAAUAAUUGGAAAUUAAGAUCUAGAUGACCCUUUUUGUAAAAAUGUUAGCAUUCUUCAAUUUUUAACUGUUAGAUGAUAGACAAUUUUUCAUAGCUGACAUGACUGAUAGACUGUAUUUGAUGCAAAUAAUUGAUGUUCCUUCUCUCUCUUCCUAACACAUGACCUUUCACUUACUUCCUUAUAUUGUUACCACUUCCAGAUUGAUAUGGUAUUGGAAAUGCAAAUGGUUAUCCUUCUUCUGAAAAAAACCUUACAGAACCUGAUGUAAGACUUCAUUGGUUACAACUGUAUGGGACAGGAUUGUGUAAUAAUUAUUUCCUUUUGGAUGAACUCAGAAAACAAGUCAGUGGAUGAUACUAUACCUGUUUCCAGACAAAUACUUGUGAGCAUUCCCAACCUGUUAAAAGGAAGCAAUUAUGGUAGAGGACCAGACUACAUGGAUGACCUGAACCUUGCUCACAACAGAUGAGAAAAAAUGACAUUUUUCUCCUUUCUGAAAGACUUUUAUAGCUUGUGAAAAGGAAACUUCAAGGAAGGUGGGGAGAUUGAAGGCUGGACUGGUACGUAUGGGAGGUACAGACUGGUAGGAAUGUGAGACCUUAAAAGUGCCAACAAUAGGACUCACUGUGUUAACACAAUUGAAAAGCCAAAAAUGUCAAAUUGAGAUGUGUUAGUACUAAUAAAUAUAUACAUGUAUGUAUUUACGUAUAUGCAUAAAUAUAUAUAUAUAAACCAUAUCACUCAUGUUGACAGAAAAAGUAGGCACUUGUAUGUGAGUGCGCAUGCACUGGCAAAACUGCAUCUGACAAAACAGGCACACGUUUUCUGGGGUACCUUUUAGUAGGCGAAAACUUCAUCUGUUACAUCAUGAAAGAAGUUGCCACCAAUUUAAAAUUUAAUCUCAAACUGAUGCAAAAAUAGUCCAGUUAAGACUUUAAGGGUGUUACUCAGAAAUUGCAUUUAUUGGGCUGACUUGCUAAAGCAAAGUGAAAAUAUUUCCUAGAUUUAAAAUCUAUACAAAUUAUUUUUGACAUUACAACAAUUAAAGAUUUGUGCAGAUGUAAAAAAGGAGUAAUUGCUGAACAUUUCAUGCAAUCCAUUUUCCAGCAAUUCCUAUGAGGAAUGAUAUGUUCCUUGCUGAUUAUGGGCUGUGAGUAUGACCAGCCGGUUUCUUCAUUCUAAUUUCUCAUUGCUGUGUGUUUCUCUCACAAACCUUCACAUCUGCCUUAGUCUUGCUGCCCACUAGCAUAUGGUGCACUUGUGUUCUAGUUCAGAACAAGAAUAAAGAGUUUUUUUUCCUUUGAUACAUUUUGUUCACCAGAACUGGAAGCUCUUCCUUUUCUAUUGUACUACACCUGUAAUGAUCUCAGAACAUAUCAAUUGUCUUAAAGUUUUUCCUUCUUGAUUUAGUUAUGUUGUGAUAUCUCUUAUCUCCUAUCCUAAUCACACUAAAAUUAUCUAAGAACAGUAUAUAAAAAAGGACAAUUUCAGUUUUCUUCUAUACUGAAAGUAUUUGUAGGUCUGCAUGAACAAGCCUUGUCAGUAUCCUCCAUGGACUGAUUUGCCAUACUAACGUAAGAAAGAGUCCAAGUAUCUUUACUUACACAGUUAGGUAAAUGGAAUUUGAUUUGAUUUGCAAAUUCAAUGCAAAAUGGAUAUAUCUGAAACUUAAUUCUACUUCUACCUACUUAGACCUAUAGGAAAAUAAGACUGAAUGUAUAAAUAGGGUUUUACCAGUAUGUUUUAAUGUCUGCUCAGUCACUCAUAAUAAUGAUCAACAUGUUGAUUCUGACUAAAUGAAGCUGAAAAUCAGAUUUUCCCAAUAUAUCACAUCAGCAUACACAUCUGCUGAUCAGUGUUAAUUAGUCCUGUAUUUUCCAAUUUGUAAUCUGUGGAUGUUUUAUGGGGAUGUAAAUAGUAACAUAUUAGCAUUUAUAAUCUUUCUUUGGAAAGCUUAUGCUGAGCAAGUGACCAAUAAAUUGCAGUUAACGUAAACAUUAAUCAAAUUGAAUGCCAGUAUGGAAAGAGUCUCAAGUUUAGAGGGAAAAAUCAACUUUCUGUCAUGUAUUUUAUUGCUGAAGUGUAAUUAAGUAAGAUCAUGACGAUCUCUGAAUAUUCAAUGACAAAUAGAUAUAUUUGUUUCAAGAUCUGUGUGCCAUCCUGAAGCGCUAAUCACUUGACCAUUAGAGUGAAUGGAUGCCACUCAAUCUACAAUGGUGAAUUAAAUUUCCAGUGGUUGGAUGAAAGAAUAAAAAGAGAGAGAGAAAAAAUGCAUAAAUGAGUAUGAAAUGUUGUAAUAUGAGAGGUUAGUAUAUAAAGCCACAAAGUGAUGAGUACUUCACAGAAAUGUAAUGACCUACAUUUGGCCUAAACAAGCUAUUGUAUGACCAUAAAUGUACCAUUAUUUUGAACAAAUGAAGAUUGCAGAUAUAGUAGGUAAACAACAAUAAAUAUAAAACACACAAUCUGUUGUCAUGAGCAAAGAAAGUAUUUAAAUAUCAGUGCUGCUCUGCACUGCAAUAACUUUAUAUAUAUAUUUUUUUUCCCUCCAGCAUUUAUCUUGCUCUUAUAUGAUAUGCUUUUCCUCAAAAACAAACAAACAAAAAAAAAAGCCACAAACUACUGAAAGAAGUGAAGCUAAAACAGAGUAUUUUUAUGGAUUUCCUAGAGUGCACAUAUACAACCUGGAAUGAACGUACAGAAGGAAUGUUUAUCUUUAAGUUUGGCCAGGAAAAUGAAGAAUUGGAGAAUGGCUCACAGAGAGCUCAGUUUGAACAAAGGAAUUUCUCAAAUAAGUGCUUGCACCCAUCAAGGAUAAACACAAAUAAAACUUCUGGAAGUUACCAGGCCAGUUAUCUAUUUGGAGACUUGGUUAACUUUGAGCACUAUAUACAAAACAUAUGCUACCAAUCAUGCAAGUCACAGACCUCUGAUGAGGUGAAACCACAAUUUUUCAUACGUAAGUAUGAUGAAAGAGGUAAGUUUCAACCAGCUAAAGUGCCCGUGAAUAAUAACUUUGUAACAAGAAAGAUUAGGCCUGACAUGCAAACAUCUUUUUGUAAAAAGAAACUUUUUGAUCAAGCUGUGAAUUUAAAUGCAAUAACUGAAAAAAAAAAAAAAAGAAAGAAAGAAAAAAAAAAAGAUAAUAGAGGAAAAAUUUGUACAAGUUGCAAAGACCAUUCUCUCAAAAGGAGAAAAAGAUGAAAUGAAAUUGCCCUGUAUUCCCUGUUAACAAUUUUCUCUCCAACAUAUCUUAAGUUAACUAGCCUGAGGUAUAUCCUGUGGACACAGCAAUGACUGCAUGCACACCGUGUGCGCUCAAGAAUAGCAAGUAAGUAUGAAGUCGUGGAGUUAGUAAGGACUAGUAAGGACUUCACCACUAGGCCUGAAAAAAUGAAGAGAUCAUUGUGAUGUCCUUAAGGACCUCUCCUUAAGGACCUGACAGCCUGAGGCAGAUAGGAAGGACAUCACACUGAUGAGGUAGAAGUGUUUGUGAAAGCCCUAACAAUGUUUUUAUUUUUUUAUUUUUUAUUUUUAUUUUUUGCUUUUUACAGGAGAAACUAUAAGCUCAUUAAGAAAUGAUAAUCAUUCUGUUCCUCUCACAUAACAUGGAGAACUGUACAAGAUGGAAGAAUAUUAAGAGCUAUCACAGAGUACUAUACUCUAAUGAGGAAAGCUCAUGCUUCAAUUUCCUGAGUUUGACCUCUGAAAAGGCACUGAGCCUCUAGGAAUCAAGUGUGCUACAAACCAGCAUAAGGGCUGCAGAAUUUGAUGAAUGCAAGACAGAAUGGAAGCAGAAGAGAAAGUACGAUACGAGGAGGCGAACAGCUCUGGAGUACUGAGCUCAGCAGGCUAAAUACUACCGCCCUGAUAAGCAAUCUCCAAAGAACAGAACUUGCACUAGUGACGUUGUUGCAAGCAGACUGCAUGUUUAGAACAAAGACUUUCCACAACGCUGCCUUGUAGACAAAUUAGUAAUAUAUGAAUCAAGAACAGAAAUCUUGUAUUUCAGUUGGCUGUCUUCAGAAACUGCUACAGUAAUUGCACGCAUUUUGGUUUUCAUCAUUUCACUCAGUAACUUCUAGGCUAAUAGCCUGCAUUUCCAAGACCAACACAGACAACAAAUCCACCACUCAAAAUGAAUUUGAAAGUGCAGCUUUAGGAAAGAUAAAAGCUUCCGUUCUCAAGCAGAGUUUCCGAGAGAAGCAGAUCUGAAAGCAGCUGAAAGCACCCAGUGGAGUCUAUCCUACAUUGAAGAAAGGUGACAACAGGAAGAGUGGCUUUCUUGUGUAACACCCAACCACAAUGCUUACAAAGAAUUAUUCACACCUACAUCUUUAAAAUUACAGUACGUAGACUUUCACAGCUCUCGUACAGCAAAGACUUCACUAAAUAUUUCAACAUGGUUAACAUAAAAGGUGUAUUUGACCCUAACUCUGCUAACAAAAUUUGCACAAAUCAAACAGUGCAAUUAUAUUUAAGUGAUCCUUACUCAUGAUCCAUUACUCCAUCAAUCUGAUUCAGAAAGUAGGAUUUCUCAGACACAAAUCUGACUAAGAACACAGAACUGAGCUGCUGAGUAUACCAUAUAUAAGAAGUCUCACAGAAAGAGGGUAUUAUGACGGUUAUAAAAGGCUACAAAGACAACCAAAGGCAAAUUCUUUGAAGCCUAUGACUUAUAACCCAGAAUUAGAAAUACAGAAUAUUUAAAGCUCAAGCUGUAUUUGGAUUUGGUAGGCAUUCAGCUCCAGUCCCUCUGAUGUUACUUUCUGUGCAGACCUGAAGAUUUAUUUCCAGUUAUUAGUAUAGAUUUUUUAAAAUUAAAUUUUCUCUGAAAAGAUUUUAAAUUAAAGUUCAGUCUUCUUGCCAUCACCUUGGAGGCUCUACAUAACUCUGCUCCUUCCUUUUCAGCUAAUUUAGUAUGCUUUCUCAACACCCUUCACCUAUGGAGCUCCAAAGGCAAUUUAAGAUGAUCAGAGUCCACUUCUGCCAAAACCACUUCCACAUUCUUACCUUCCCCUUCUUUCAAUGAAUACACUCGGGGAGCGAGUUCACCAGUAUUAGCGUCCCGCCACUACAUUCAACCUGAAGGCUCAGAUUUUUGCAUUGCCUCUUCAGUUACAGAACAAGUUGUUCAGAAUCCUCCAUUUAUCCAUUUAUCUCAUUAUGUCUUUCAGAUUUCACCAAGUUAGGCAUUGUUUUCAUUCUUGCACAGUCAAGUCGCUAUGACUGAAAUAACGUUUGCUGAAGGAAGUGAUUCCUAUUCCACUUAAUAUUGUACAUUACUUUUAAAAACAACAAAAAGACAGAUAGGAGCUUAGGAUAAAUUCCUGAGUUGCUCAUAUUCUGUAAAAGCUAGUUCACCUAUUUCUAAGAGCAACUAAAAACCUGUUUCUUGAGAGUUACUAAGCAAGACUGGAAUUAAAUCUUUGUGAUUUAUUCUAGUACUGUUCUCUGUUGUGUCGUCCAUAUUUUCAGAAGUUACAUGUAAGAAUUCUUUAUCAGAGAAAAGGAAAAUACAACAUGAAUACAUUAGCAUUUCCAGGACUGAAAGAUUGUUCUGAGACCUCCUGUUAUCCAGAGAUAGUGCACCACUAUGAUUGAAAGAAAGUCCCACAGAUACUGUUAACUGAAAGUAGACAAAACUUCCCUACCCAAGGCUCAGUGAGUAACCCCACCUGAUGUAACUUAAACUUCACAGGAGUACCUGAAACAUCUCUGAUUGGAAUUUCUUGAAGGAACUUCAUAGCAUGGAUUCUUGGUGUUCAUAGGAAGCCUGACAAUCAAAACCUGAUGUUUACCAUCGUACUCAGAAUUAAACACUGCUCUUCCACUUCUUCAUGAGAAAUCUUUUCAAGCUGUUGCACCAAGUAGCUGAUGUAAUUACAUUUACACCAUUUUCUUUAUCCAAUUUUCUCACUGGGCAACCGUAUGCCAUGCAGCUUCAGGAGGCAAACAGAAAGAAAGGCUCUGCAACCUCUUUGACAGACUAUUCUUUUGGCAAACACACUGCACUAACAUGAAGUGUCAGGAUAUCAAAGACUCCCUGAGGAGUUCAGCAAGCAUAUCUAAAGAAAUCCAAAGGAGCGAUUACGAGUCCUUUUCAAGACUGCUAGACCCUUCUUCAAAAAAACUGAAGGCUAAAUAAAGAGUCAGUUGCUUAUCCUGAAUAACCUUCCUGAUAAGGAAAUAAAAGGGAAUGAAGGAUAAAAGAUAUUGCAGUUAAAAAUAAUUCUGUACAAUCUGUGAUAAUAUUUCUACAUAUAAUUAGUAUUUAAAAAUAGAGUGGGUCUGCUAACAUAUUUAGCUAUUUUAUACACAUAUUUAAGAAACACAAAUGUUCCUUCAUUCUCCAGGUAUAUCUGUAGAGGAGAAAUGUGAAACAAAUUAAAAACUUGAUAUUUAGACUUAUCUACUGUGAUAAAUCUGAAUGUUUUCAAAUUCAUAUAUAGUUAUUACUGCAUACUUAAAUAAUACCCAACGUGUACAUCUCUAAGA